AUCCAGCUGAAUAGUUCAAAUAGGACGAAACGCGCGUCAUGGAU
rnacentral:hammerhead_ribozyme from 1 species